ACAGGGAUUGCCCUAGUAACGGCGAGUGAAGCGGCAACAGCUCAAUUUGAAAUCUGGCUCUUUUAGAGUCCGAGUUGUACUUUGCAGAGGGCGCUUUGGCUUUGGCAGCGGUCCAAGUUCCUUGGAACAGGACGUCACAGAGGGUGAGAAUCCCGUACGUGGUCGCUGGCUAUUGCCGUGUAAAGCCCCUUCGACGAGUCGAGUUGUUUGGGAAUGCAGCUCUAAAUGGGAGGUACAUUUCUUCUAAAGCUAAAUAUUGGCCAGAGACCGAUAGCGCACAAGUAGAGUGAUCGAAAGAUGAAAAGCACUUUGGAAAGAGAGUCAAACAGCACGUGAAAUUGUUGAAAGGGAAGCGCUUGCAGCCAGACUUGCUUGCAGUUGCUCAUCCGGGCUUUUUUGCCCGGUGCACUCUUCUGUAGGCAGGCCAGCAUCAGUUUGGGCGGUAGGAUAAAGGUCUCUGUCACGUACCUCCUUUCGGGGAGGCCUUAUAGGGGAGGCGACAUACUACCAGCCUGGACUGAGGUCCGCGCAUCUGCUAGGAUGCUGGCGUAAUGGCUGUAAGCGGCCCGUCUUGAAACACGGACCAAGGAGUCUAACAUCUAUGCGAGUGUUUGGGUGUCAAGCCCGAGCGCGUAAUGAAAGUGAACGGAGGUGGGAACCCGCAAGGGUGCACCAUCGACCGAUCCUGAUGUCUUCGGAAGGAUUUGAGUAAGAGCAUGGCUGUUGGGACCCGAAAGAUGGUGAACUAUGCUUGAAUAGGGUGAAGCCAGAGGAAACUCUGGUGGAGGCUCGCAGCGGUUCUGACGUGCAAAUCGAUCGUCAAAUUUGGGCAUAGGGGGCGAAAGACUAAU
rnacentral:rRNA from 1 species